AUUGAACGCUGGCGGAAUGCUUUACACAUGCAAGUCGAACGGCAGCACGGACUUCGGUCUGGUGGCGAGUGGCGAACGGGUGAGUAAUACAUCGGAACGCGUCCUGUAAUGGGGGAUAACCUGGCGAAAGCCAGGCUAAUACCGCAUACGUCCUGAGGGAGAAAGCGGGGGAUCGCAAGACCUCGCGUUAUAGGAGCGGCCGAUGUCGGAUUAGCUAGUUGGUGGGGUAAAGGCCUACCAAGGCGACGAUCUGUAGCGGGUCUGAGAGGACGGCCCGCCACACUGGGACUGAGACACGGCCCAGACUCCUACGGGAGGCAGCAGUGGGGAAUUUUGGACAAUGGGGGCAACCCUGAUCCAGCCAUUCCGCGUGAGUGAAGAAGGCCUCGGUUGUAAG
rnacentral:rRNA from 1 species